GGCAAAAGUGAUGCUGUGGCAGUGUCUUGCCCAGACUUAUGAUAGUGGGGGCUUCCAUUCCUGUCUUUUGGAACACUUGCCCCUGGAAGUCUGAGCCUUCAUGUAAGAAGUUUGGCUACUCUGCUGGAGAGGCCUCCUGGAGAGUACCCAAGAAUCUACCAAAAGGAGGUGGAGGUUGGCUCACGCAUCAGGCAUGUGAGUGAAGCUAUCUUGGACCCUCCAGCCCAGUCUAGCUGCCUGCUGAAUAUCACUGAGUGACCCAGGUACUGACCAUAGCAUAAGUAAGCGGUCCUCUCUGCCAAGAUCAAGAACUGAAGCAAGUAGGAAGUAGCUGCCAAAAGUGCUGAGUCUAGGACCACACGGUUUCAACCCCAUCCACGCCGGACCUGGGGACAUUUGAUACUGUGGCCAGUAGAAACACAGAAACAGCAGAGAUGGACCUGACUAUACUUUGCUUCAGUUAUUGUAGG
rnacentral:lncRNA from 1 species